rnacentral:lncRNA from 8 species
GCAAUUUAUCACAAUAAACUCUACUUCAGGCGAGCAAAAUCUAGAGACUCACAGUUAAGAGGCUCACAGUUAACUGUUCAUUAAAAGAAACUGUAACAAAGAUGAUGGGGUGUGCCUUUCACCAUCUCAGUAGAGUUUGGUGCCAAGUCUUUACAAAUGGUCCUAGUUAUAUUAAAACAGUCAAACGAGAGUUGCAACUGACCACUAUAUUGGUUUUAGUGAGCACGGUUCACAUAAGAAGUGUAACAAUUAUUUGUCACCUUGAAUGAGUUCCUUUGAAAAUGUGGGUGUCUCAAAGGUACGCUGAACAUGCAGUUCAGUUUGAGGCAAAACUAUUUUCCUGAAAGCCCAUUCUGAACUGAUAGGCCUUACAGAUGUAGUAAAUUGGUGGAAAUUGUGGAAAUUACAAACUUUAGAAGCCUUCUAAAACUCAAAUACACUACAAGUUUGCAUUUCCUGCUUUGCAGGAAAAUUCUCAGCAACAAAAGAGUGAUCAAAUUAAGAUCCUACAUCUGUACAUGUUGUUUUGGGUCAUACACAGCCCAGCCUAGUCUGAGACACUUACUAGAUUCCUUCACACCGGUCACGCCACACCUGCAACGUGCGGGCAGGAAAAAAUAAGUGACAGGAGUUGGCGAUGAAGUGCAAACACAUCUUAGGGGCCGAGUUCCUGUCCAAGCUGGGACAUGUGAAAGACUUCUCCCACUGGCCGAAGCAGCCUCCCCAUACCCUUUGGCCUCAAGGGAAGCUGGUCUACUUCCUCCCAUUUUUUUUAUCAAAGAAUGUGCCAAUAAGCAGCAAUCGGCAAGAAUGUGAACAACUUUUCCAGUGGUUGGUAGCAGUGGCUCACACAGCUCUGCAGACCCCUAAAAAGGACCCAGGACGGGAGCGCUCAGUUGAACCACCAUGAAGACUGUUAGGAUAGCCCUUCUCAUCCUCCUCCUAACCCCACUCAAGCUCCUCACUACAGCAACUGAGACACCCAAUACAAGUGUUCCUUCUGUCAUUACAUCUGUCCGUACAACCGAUGCUGCUGCCACCGCUGCUGUGACCACACGCAGGACAGAGACCAAAUCUGCCACAGUAACUGCCACAGUAACUGCCACGGAAAAACCAGCAUCAACAACAUCCCAUCUCUCAGUGCGUUCCACAUCUCUACGUGCUAAGGAUGAUGAAAAAGUGGCAGAGACCCAGGCCACAACAACUGUUCCCACGAGUGACCCACUCAAAGAUGUGACCACAGUUCAGCCUAUAUCAAAGACUCACUUACAAGGUAUUCAGACAACCACACAGAGCCAUGGUUUUCCUUCACCAGGAUCCUUGACCACCUCCAGACCAGAAGAGAAAGGUCAGGAAGAAGACAAGAACAAUAGGAAUGCGGGUCAAGAUGCCAGUCGGUCCUCUACUAUCACCAUCUGUGGUCACCAUGCUGGAGAUGAAGAACCGGAAACUCCUAAAUCAAAUAAGAAGAUGCUGUGGAUUCUUUUGCCAGUCUUGGGAGUUGUGGUGGCUGCUGUCAUCUUCAUUUUCAAAUUUAAAUGCAUGAAGGUCCACGAUCACACAGAGGCAAUUGAUAAUGGAACAGAAAAUGCCUCUUUCCAGAGCAGGUCGGACAGCACCAAAGAUGGUGUCAUGCUUCUCGGGGUGAAGUCCUCAGGUGCUGCUGCACGAUAAAAAGGAGGGCGUCCCAUUCUACAGUAUAUGACCAAUAGCUCUCACAACCCAAAAAAUGGUCAAGACCUUCAACUAUCUAAAAAUGCUGGACAAUCAAAUAUGGCGUAUAAGAAUCCCAAAAGCUAAGUGGGCACAUUCUUAUACUGUAUAGUGUGGAAAGAAGAUUGGUGUGGAGUAUUGUAGGAUAUGGGACUCUUAACUGAACAUGUGUCUGUUAAAAAAUGUUCACUAAGAUACUGUAUAUCAUUUCAAAAAUAUGUACUUCACUGUUUUUUGUAUUCUUAUUUUGAUGGUAAUUUAGCCAAGGAGGAACUGCGAUCUCAAUUUAAUCAAGACUAACAUCCAGACAUUUCAUUCAGGAAAACAAUGCAAGAUUUUGAAUGAAUAUAAAUAAAUUAACCCAAAAGCUCAUUGUCUGGGUGCAAGAGGAUUGUUUGUCUCAUCCCUGUAUUUAAGAUACUGGUUUUGAUUUUAUAUCACACAAACAUGUAUGAAAUCCAAAUGCAUUGAACCUGAAUUCAGCACACAAUUCCUUGGUUCAAACCAGUUAGUGACCAGUACACAUUAUUAAGUGUUUGUAUGCUUUAAAUCUGUUGUAAUAAAUGAUUUAGCUUUCAGUGUAAAUGCCAGGAUUGUAAAGAUUAGCUAUAUUGCCGGUAUGUUUCCUGCUUUUCAACCAGUUUUUGUGUAUAUUAGAGCAAACAAUAAGACUUCCCACUGGUCAAAGAUGAUUUGAAUUUCUCAAAUAAAGAAGAACGUUAUUUGACUGAUCGGCAUUGGUUGAAUAUUUGUUGUUUUGCACCUGUACAUGCUCACGAAAGUUUAUGUUGAUUUUGGAUGUUGAUUUCACCUGGCUACACACCAUAUCUUUAAUGUGCUGAAUUAUGUAACGCAACCAUACAAAAGGCUAUGGAGAAUAAACUAUUCAGUAUAGGAGAGCUGUAGCUCCGCCCACCGGUUAUGUGGAGUAGAGCAUGCUGGGCGAUCUCCAGCUCUGAGGAUAAGGAAGUAACUAGAGAAAAGUCAAGUGAUUAGUUCAAGCCAUCUAUUGUUUUUUCCUUUAGUUAGCAUUAUUUGUUUUACCAAGGCCAGUGUGUGUCCUUCAGAAAUAUGAGUACAUAUUUCUUACUCUUCAUGUGUUAAUGUUGUGGACGUACUCGCUGACAAUUAUGUAGUUUAUCUUUGUUAUGCUAAUUUACGUUUUUGCCACAAAGCUAGCAAAUGCAAGCUUGCUAGCUCGGUUGUUUUUGUCAUCUCAUUUCGGACAUUUGUGAUUUGUAUAGUAUAAUGUUCCCCAGUGCCUUGUUUAUAUGCCCUGUAACUAUAAAUACUGUAUGUGUGAAGUAUAGUUUAUUUGGUUUUAUUGUGUAUUGUGUAGACAUGCAUUCAAGUUCAUGCAGUUGUGUGAGGAUGAUGGUGCUGCUUUGUAGUGCUGGGUGGCUGCACCCUUCUGAUCUUUUAUUAGUGAAGUCACAGCCAUGUUGAUAGGCUGUUUUGUCCUGUGCAGCACAUUAGCUAUUGAAGCCAUAUUAUUGUUUAUAGCCAAUGUAAUUGGAGGAUGUAUUAAGCUUAUACCUGCCAUUUACUAUUGCAUUUACAUUCCCCUUUUACUUUCACAACCACACACACUCUUGGUUAAAACAGUUGUCAAGCCAUACCUCAAAUUGCCUUAGCCCAUACACUGUGCUAUGCCGUUCCUGCUCUAUGUGAAUCAGCGUUAUUAAACCACCUCAACUGGAAUCCUACCUGUCUGUCAUCUGUGCCCUUACAAGUACCUGGGAGAGAACAUAUUAAGUGGUAAGAAAACCCUAAGAAUAUACAGUCCAACAGGUCCUCCACUUCAUUUUGGUCCAUUCGACACAGUGCUUUCUUCCAGAGCAAGCUGCAAGACUAGUAUGUGAGUGAAGCUUUCACACAGCCAUCAGUUUGUCCGAAGCGUCAGACACAGCUACCACAGCAUCUACAAAAU